rnacentral:tRNA from 1 species
UCCCUGGUGGCUCAGUGGUAAAGAAUCUGCCUGUCACGCAGGAGACUCAGGUUCAAUCCCUGGGUUGGGAA